UAAAAGUAUUUUAAACAUAUGUCACCUGUGGCUGAGUGAAAACCUAUUCUGUCGAUUUGCUUUUCCGAGACUAACUCAAAGUGGUCCGUCUAUGUGGCUCAAUACUGACUUAUAAGAGUAGAGCAGAAAAUACAUUUCAUAUAAGUAAACUGAAGAUACUUGAUAAUUGAAAAUUCAAUUGGACAACUUUAAAAAGAUUUCUCGGUCAACUUUCUCCAAAGUACAGCU